UAGGUGUCAAACAGUUUUCUAAAGUGUUAAGUUUAUGAGAUUUGUUUUACUUCAUCUUCUCACUAAAAUUUGAAAUUAUCUGUUUUUUCUUUCCUAUUUUUGUUUCACUCAUAAAGCUCUUUGAUCUAUUGUAUAGCUUUGGGACAUAAGUUGCUUUUCUUAGGUAACAUCAAACAUGUUUUAAAGUUAUUUAAAGUUAUUCAUUGUCUAGUUAGCUUGCUUUUAGAGUAACUGUCUACACCUGUGUUUAUUUUCCUUUUUGGUUGUCUAAUUGUUUAGAUUUUUUAAAAUUAUUAUUAUACUUUAAGUUCUAGGGUACAUGUGCACAACAUGCAGGUUUGUUACAUAUGUAUACAUGUGCCAUGUUGGUGUGCUGCACCCAUUAACUUGUCAUUUGCAUUAGGGACAUGGAUGAAGCUGGAAACUAUCAUUCUAAUUUUUUUGAUUCUAAAAUUAUUUUUAAUCUUCUGAGUAUAACAUUAUUGAUUUUUUGUAUCUUGUGUAAUAAAUAUUUGCUUACACUGAUAUCAUAAAAUAUUUUUCUUUUUUCUUUUUUUUUUUUUUUUUUUUCUAAAUGCUCGCUUGUUUAACCUUUCAGAUUUAGGACUGUAAUACAUAAAGGAAAUUUUUUGUAUAUGUUGUCAAUAGUAUAUUAAAAUCACUUUUCCUA
rnacentral:lncRNA from 1 species